rnacentral:rRNA from 1 species
AUCGAACGCUGGCGGCAGGCCUAACACAUGCAAGUCGAGCGGAGCGGCGGACGGGUGAGUAAUGCCUAGGAAUCUGCCUGGUAGUGGUGGAUAACGUCCGGAAACGGGCGCUAAUACCGCAUACUAUCAGAUGAGCCGAGGUCGGAUUCGGUAGUUGGUGGGGUAAAGGCCUACCAAGGCGACGAUCCGUAACUGGUCUGAGAGGAUGAUCAGUCACACGGGAACUGAGACACGGUCCAGACUCCUACGGGAGGCACAAGUGGGGAAUAUUGGACAAUGGGCGAAAGCCUGAUCAGGCCAUGCCGCGUGUGCGAAGAAGGUCUUCGGAUUGUAAAGCACUUUAAGUUGGUAGGCGUUACCAACAGAAUAAGCACCGGCUAACUUCGUGCCAGCAGCCGCGGUAAUUC